CACCCAGGGUGAGAAACAGCAAGGAGGGCAGCAAGAGCUUCAGGUUCUAGUCCUCAUGCCCCACCUCUCCCCCUCAGUGCUGUCACAGGCAGAGGGAGGGACCAGCAGGGCCUGGGCCUGAGAGCAGUGCCAGAGGCCCAGGCAGGGCAGGUGUGGGCAGAGCUGUUGUGCAGGCGCAGAGAAGCUGCAGAGAGGCCACGGAGAGCGGGCCUGGCCAUGUGGAGUGCCCUGUGCGUGGGCUUCUUGCCCAUUGUAGCAGCAGUCACUGGCCAGGUGGCCUUGGAGCAGCACCCCAGAGAAGUGACCGUGCGAGAGGGAGAUGGAGUCACCUUCCAGUGCAGCUUGGAGAGAGGGUCUGCCCUAGGCUACAACAUGUACUGGUAUCGUCAAGGCCCAGGGGGCUCUCUCAAAUUUAUCUACAAGGAGGGUGAAAUCUUUGGAGAAGGUUUCCAAGAUCGUUUUGUGGGAUCAGUGGAGAGGUUCCGUUUCACACUGCAGCUCCUGGCAGCAACCCCAGGCGAUGCAGCAAUGUAUUACUGUGGAGCACAGACCACCCUGGAGCAGCUCUGCAGCAGAGUGAACCAAAAACCAGCAGAUGGGGAAGACAGAUCUCCCAGCAUUUCUUUCUGGCAGCUGCUCCCCAGGGCUCUUGUCAGGCAAUGGCAGGUGCAGGAAACCUCCCUCUGGCUCGGUGGCACUAAAAGGCACUGAAGGGAGGGCUGCUGGAAGGGCUGGUGCCAUUGAUGGUGCAGGAGGAUCUGUGCUGGGAGCUGCAGAGGCUGCAGUUUGGGCGAGUGCAGGGUUAGUGCACCUCACCAGGGCUCCUGUCCAGCAUGGCCUCAUUUCUCCUCUGUGCCUUGCCUUGGCUCCCAACCCUUUUUCUUCAGGGACAGUCAGCAUGGCUUUGGGAAGUUGGGAUUUGGCUUAGCCACAUUGACAGCAUUCUACAGUGAGACAAAGGGUCUUGCUGGGUGAGGAGAGAGUGGAUGUUGCGCAUUCUUCAUUCAGUUGAGCUCCCAGCACUGACUUCCCUGGAAACCUUCUGCACAAAUCUUUUUAUUAUGGCCAUGGUUCAGUGACAUGGAUUGUGCAAGGGGACAUAUUCCUCCUCCUGGGCUGUGGGAAAUGAAAUUCCUGUAGGCUGAUCUGGCUGCUGAAGCCGGAGGUGAAUAAAGCAUUCAGGACCUCAGCCCUGUCCCCUGUACUCUGUCACCUGGUCCCCAUCCCAUUCAGCACUGGGCCCACGUUUUCCCAGCCUCGUUUGUCCGUGCAGCCUCCUGACACCUUGUCCUGACUCCUUGCUCACUGGGGAGGAAUCCAGGUGAGAGCCGGGCAGGGAGGGCAGCGAGCCCAGCCCAGGGCAAUGAAGGACAGUGACAGCGACAGGUAGGGACAGGGA